CGCGCUGGAAGCCUCGUCUUUGUAACAUCGAGGUAUCCUGUAACUAGAUGGGUCCUGGCCUGCGGAGGUAGUUUCCCCUGUGAAGCCAGGGACUCAGCCAGGAGCGUGAGGGGACCCGGAUCCUGAGUCUCCAAGCCGCCCACUACCCUCUGCUUUACCGGAUGGAACUCAUCAGUAACUAGGUCUGAGGCACAGUCAGUGAAUACCUGUUUAAUGAAUGCAUGCAUAAAUGAAUGAAUGGAUGAUCCAGCUCUUCCUGGAGCAGGCACGACUUCCACAGAAACAGAGCAAACGCUAGCCGUAAGCAGAAUGUCCUGCACUGCCAGAAUCGCCCAGCUUCCCGGCACACCUAUCAACCAGUCGUUCCCAGCACUGCCCAGUAUGCAGCCUCCAGGCAGAGGGCCUGGAUGUCUUGGCAGGUGUUUCCGAAAAAUCCAAUCCACCCUCCAAGGUGGAAAGUGUGCCAUCUCUGCCCAUAAUCCAAAUGGCGUGCCUGAGGCAUAGAAAGCAGCUUUCAGGGAGGCCUUCCUUCCUCUGAGCAAUGGUGGCAUCAUCAGAAAAGUGGAGCUCCUCCAAAAGGAUCUGCUGGAAGCAGAGGACGCCCAUGUCGCCUGGUGACUCCCUCUGACCCAACAAGUUGCAGCACCUCUGCUGGGC
rnacentral:lncRNA from 10 species